AGUUGGGGUUGUCUUGCCGGGACGAAUCACCCCACUGUUGAAUAAAGAAAGUGUAGUUCCGGAGAAUCAGUGACUUUCAUUGGUCACACACCCCGUGAGGUGGAGCACUUCAGAGCCAGGUGUCAGGACUCUCCCGCCGCAUCCAUUUCCCUCAGCUGCCAUACGACUGAGGAAGGCUGUGGGUGAAGCUGCUCUGUGGGGCUCCACGAGGAACCCGAAAUUGGCUGAAAUGAUUCCUGCCAACUUCUGACAGCUGCCGGAGACUUGAAUGUGGUCUUAUCAAAAAAACUACCUCAGAAGUUUUCUUCCUGAAAUGAUGUAUUACAAGCGUCCGUGAUUCCUCAGAAGGAAGUGAUUUCGAUUCUGUUCCGGAGUCUGUUUCCUAGGCCGUGGCAAGUGAAGACCAGCAUCAUCGUGGGGCCAUUCUGUAACGAUGCUAGGAACAGAAUAAGGGAAGCAGAUCACAUUUUUCAGCAUCAAGGAGCAGCAUCUCACACUGGGCAAGGGAGCUACACAAUAGGAUGAUGUCCUGGAGGCAGGAUUUUGAGCAGCAUAACAGCCCAGUGGGAAACAUUAUUAUUGAGUCCUAUAGGUUUUGGCCAAUUAGGGACCCAGGCGAUUGGACUGUCUACUUCUCUAAGUCACUGCCUACUUUGACUGAAGGUCACAGUACGUCUCAAGGCCAUUCUUUCUGCAUGGAACUUAAGAAGGAGGUGCAGGUAUGGUCUCCCUUGGGUGGCAUAUCCAAUACGUGGUUUGAAGUACAGCUGACCUGGCAGAAUUCACUUUCCUCCUGAAAGUGAGCAGCCUCCUUUGAGCUCCGGGGCUGGUCUCGUCCAUUGCAUUCAACAAGGAUCUGUUUAAAAAAAACCCAUUCAAGCACGUAAGGUAAAAAUUGCCUUAUUGGCUUUUUGUCUGAAAUUUUGGCAGCACAUAGACAGAUUUCAGCAUUUAUUGCCCUUUGAGUGAUUUCCAGCUUUGUUCCAGUAAAAAUACAAUUAAUCUCGCAGUAGCCGCUGUAUCAAUCCAUAUGAAGGGCCAGUUGUUUCAGAGACCACGUGGGGUC
rnacentral:lncRNA from 1 species